UCACCUGUUUAUCAAAAACAUGUCUUAUUGAUAUUAAUUUUAAGUCAAAUCUGCUCAAUGAAUUUUUAAUUUAAAUAGCUGCAGUAUAUAUAACUGUACAAAGGUAGCAUAAUAAUUAGUUUUUUAAUUAAAAACUAGAAUGAAUGAUUUAAUGAAAUAUAAGCUAUAUCAAAUUUAAUAAAUAAAUUUAUUUUUUAAAUAAAAAAAAUUAAAUUUAAUUUAAAGACGAGAAGACCCUAAGAAUUUUUAUAAAUUUUAAUUUUUAAAUAUAAAUUAUUUUAAUUGGGGAAAUUUUAAAAUUUAAUUAAUUUUUAAUUAAUUUAAACAUAAAUUUUUGAAUAAUUAUUUUUUUAAAAAAAAAAAUAAAAUUACCUUAGGGAUAACAGCAUAAUUUUUUUUAAAAGUUCAUAUUUAUAAAAAAGUUUAUGACCUCG
rnacentral:rRNA from 1 species